UUCUCGAAUGUGUUCAGUUUAAAAAUCAAAU
rnacentral:piRNA from 1 species